CCUACGGGAGGCAGCAGUGGGGGAUAUUGCACAAUGGGGGAAACCCUGAUGCAGCGACGCCGCGUGGGCGAAGAAGUAUUUCGGUAUGUAAAGCCCUAUCAGCAGGGAAGAAGAACUGACGGUACCUGAGUAAGAAGCACCGGCUAAAUACGUGCCAGCAGCCGCGGUAAUACGUAUGGUGCAAGCGUUAUCCGGAUUUACUGGGUGGAAAGGGAGCGCAGGCGGCACGGCAAGCCUGAUGUGAAAGCCCGCGGCCCAACCGCGGGACUGCAUUGGGAACUACCGGGCUGGAGUGCCGGAGAGGUAGGCGGAAUUCCUAGUGUAGCGGUGAAAUGCGUAGAUAUUAGGAGGAACACCAGUGGCGAAGGCGGCCUACUGGACGGUGACUGACGCUGAGGCUCGAAAGCGUGGGGAGCAAACAGGAUUAGAUACCCCAGUAGUC
rnacentral:rRNA from 1 species